rnacentral:rRNA from 1 species
ACACGACUACAUUAGAUACCCGCGUAGUCCCAGCCCUAAACGAUGCGCGUUAGGUGUAUCGGUGACCACGAGUCACCGAGGUGCCGAAGGGAAACCGUGAAACGCGCCGCCUGGGAAGUACGGUCGCAAGGCUGAAACUUAAAGGAAUUGGCGGGGGAGCACUACAACGGGUGGAGCCUGCGGUUUAAUUGGACUCAACGCCGGAAAACUCACCGGGGGCGACAGCAAUAUGUAGGCCAAGCUGAAGACUUUGCCGGAUUAGCUG